UACGUAGGGACCAAGCGUUGUUCGGAUUUACUGGGCGUAAAGGGCGCGUAGGCGGCUUGCCAAGUCACUUGUGAAAUCUCUGGGCUUAACCCAGAACGGCCAAGUGAAACUGGCAUGCUAGAGUGCAGAAGGGGCAAUCGGGAAUUCUUGGUGUAGCGGUGAAAUGCGUAGAUAUCAAGAGGAACACCUGAGGUGAAGACGGGUUGCUGGGCUGACACUGACGCUGAGGCGCGAAAGCCAGGGAGGCAAACGGG
rnacentral:rRNA from 1 species